rnacentral:rRNA from 1 species
UGCCAGCCGCCGCGGUAAUACGGAGGGAGCGAGCGUUAAUCGGAAUUACUGGGCGUAAAGCGCGCGUAGGCGGCUUUGUAAGUCGGAUGUGAAAGCCCUGGGCUCAACCUGGGAAUGGCAUUCGAUACUGCAGAGCUAGAGUAUGGUAGAGGGAAGUGGAAUUUCCGGUGUAGCGGUGAAAUGCGUAGAUAUCAGGAGGAACAUCGGUGGGGAAGCCGGCGGACUGGCCAAAUACUGACGCUCAGACCCGAAAGCAUGGGGAUCAAACAGGAUUAGAUA